rnacentral:rRNA from 1 species
CAAUAGCGUAUAUUAAAGUUGUUGCAGUUAAAAAGCUCGUAGUUGGAUUUCUGGCUGGAGCGAUCGGUCCGCCCCGCAAGGGGUGUGUACUAGCGUCGUCUCCGACCAUCCUUGUGGGAACUGUGCGGCCGUUAACUCGGUUGUAUAUGGGAACACAUCGUUUACUGUGAAAAAAUUAGAGUGUUUAAAGCAGGCUUAAGCCGUUGAAUACAUUAGCAUGGAAUAAUAAGAUAAGACUUGGGUCAUUAUUUUGUUGGUUUGCGGAUCGAGGUAAUGAUUAAUAGGGAUAGUUGGGGGUAUUCAUAUUUAUUGUCAGAGGUAGAAUUCUUGGUAUUUAUAGAAAGAAUGAACUUAGGACGAAAGCUA